rnacentral:rRNA from 1 species
UACGGAGGAUGCGAGCGUUAUCCGGAUUUAUUGGGUUUAAAGGGUGCGUAGGCGGAUUAAUAAGUCAGUGGUGAAAACCUGCAGCUUAACUGUAGACUUGCCAUUGAUACUGUUAGUCUUGAGUACGGUCAAGGUAGGCGGAAUGUGUAAUGUAGCGGUGAAAUGCUUAGAUAUUACACAGAACACCGAUUGCGAAGGCAGCUUACUGGGCCGCAACUGACGCUGAUGCACGAAAGCGUGGGGAGCGAACAGG